rnacentral:lncRNA from 1 species
UAAAAACACAACAUCAUCGUCAUCAUCAAGAUGCAACAUAGAGAAAUCUAAAAAAGCACUAUAAUGCAGUAUCUGUACAAAAUAUAAAACUUAAAGCAAAAUAAUGUAGCUAAAAUGGUCCAAAAUCAAAUCUACAUCGUUGAUCCGCUGAAGUGGAUGGGGGAGCUGGUCUACUAUCUGUAGAAGGUAUUGUGGUAAACUAAAUGCGUUGUAGUAAACUACAGGAGUCAAUAACGUAUCUGCAGUAGCAAGUCCUGUCAUUGACAGAGACAGGGGGCUGGGGGGCGAUUGCCCCUUGCUUCUACAAAAUUUUUAAAUACACUGCUUCUUGUAGAUGAUUUGUCGUAGAUCAGCAGAAAGGAUUCAAUACUCAGGCCAAUUGACCAAAGUUCGAUCGUAGUGCAAUGUAUUUCAUUCAUUUUCAUUUUUUUUGUAUUUUUGUUGGGUAAAAACAUAUUAGGAUUUCCAUAGUGGACUCUAUUUUCUAAUAACUCUAAACCUAGUUUAUGUAUAUGUAUAAAUAAAUUACUAUUUUCAAUAAAUA